rnacentral:rRNA from 1 species
AUACGGAGGGUGCAAGCGUUAAUCGGAAUUACUGGGCGUAAAGCGCGCGUAGGCGGAUUGUGAAGUCUCAUGUGAAAGCCCUGGGCUCAACCUGGGAACUGCAUGGGAUACUGGCAAUCUAGAAUACAGUAGAGGGUAGUGGAAUUUCAGGUGUAGCGGUGAAAUGCGUAGAGAUCUGAAGGAACAUCAGUGGCGAAGGCGACUACCUGGACUGAUAUUGACGCUGAGGUGCGAAAGCGUGGGGAGCAAACGGGAUUAGAAACCCUAGUAGUCC